CCUACGGGACGCAGCAGUGAGGAAUAUUGGUCAAUGGCCGGAAGGCUGAACCAGCCAAGCCGCGUGAAGGACGAAGGUGCCAAGCAUUGUAAACAUCUUGUGUCAAGGGACAAAAUCAGGCUCGAGAGCCUGACCGAGGGUACUUGAAGAAAAAGCAUCGGCUAACCCAGUGCCAGCAGCCGCGGUAAUACGGAGGAUGCGAGAGUUAUCCGGAUUGAUUGGGUUAACAGGGUGCGUAGGCGGACUGUUAAGUCAGCGGGAAAAGCCCGGGGCUCAACCCCGUCGAGCCGUUGAAACUGGCUGUCUUGAGAUGUCGAGAGGUAUGCGGAAUGCGCAGUGUAGCGGUGAAAUGCUUAGAUAUUGCGCAGAACUCCGAUUGCGAAGGCAGCAUACCGGCGGCGAUCUGACGCUGAGGCACGAAAGCGUGGGUAUCGAACAGGAUUAGAUACCCUUGUAGUC
rnacentral:rRNA from 1 species